rnacentral:rRNA from 1 species
UACGGAGGAUCCAAGCGUUAUCCGGAUUUAUUGGGUUUAAAGGGAGCGUAGGUGGAGGCUUAAGUCAGUUGUGAAAGUUUGCGGCUCAACCGUAAAAUUGCAGUUGAUACUGGGUUUCUUGAGUACAGUAGAGGUGGGCGGAAUUCGUGGUGUAGCGGUGAAAUGCUUAGAUAUCACGAAGAACUCCAAUUGCGAAGGCAGCUCACUAGACUGGCACUGACACUGAUGCUCGAAAGUGUGGGUAUCAAACAGGAUUAGAUACCCUGGUAGUCCACACAGUAAACGAUGAAUACUCGCUGUUUGCGAUAUACAGUAAGCGGCCAAGCGAAAGCAUUAAGUAUUCCACCUGGGGAGUACGCCGGCAACGGUGA